CUCAGUCCAGAAGGAGUUAGAGCUGGCACCGCUCAGUACAGAAGGAGUUAGAACUGGCACCGCUCAGUCCAGAAGGAGUUAGAGCUGGCACCGCUCAGUACAGAAGGAGUUAGAGCUGGCACCGCUCAGUCCAGAAGGAGUUAGAGCUGGUACCGCUCAGUCCAGAAGGAGUUAGAGCUGGCACCGCUCAGUCCAGAAGGAGUUAGAGCUGGCACCGCUCAGUCCAGAAGGAGUUAGAGCUGGUACCGCUCAGUCCAGAAGAAGUUAGAGCUCGUACCGCUCAGUACGGAAGGAGUUAGAGCUGGCACCGCUCAGUCCAGACGGAGUUAGAGCUGGCACCGCUCAGUCCAGACGGAGUUAGAGCUGGCACCGCUCAGUCCAGACGGAGUUAGAGCUGGUACCGCUCAGUCCAGAAGGAGUUAGAGCUGGUACCGCUCAGUCCAGAAGGAGUUAGAGCUGGUACCGCUCAGUCCAGAAGGAGUUAGAGCUGGUACCGCUCAGUCCAGAAGGAGUUAGAGCUGGUACCGCUCAGUCCAGAAGGAGUUAGAGCUGGUACCGCUCAGUCCAGAAGGAGUUAGAUUUCUAUUACAGCGUAUUGGAUAACUGUCAUUCAUAUUCACCCAGUUCAAUGUGACAGGUUUAGGUUACUGUCAUUCAUAUUCACCCAGUUCAAUGUAACAGUGACAGGUUUAGGUUACUGUCAUUCAUAUUCACCCAGUUCAAUGUAACAGUGACAGGUUUAGGUUACUGUCAUUCAUAUUCACCCAGGUCAAUGUAACAGUGACAGGUUUAGGUUACUGUCAUUCAUAUUCACCCAGUUCAAUGUAACAGUGAUAGGUUUAGGUUACUGUCAUUCAUAUUCACCCAGUUCAAUGUAACAGUGACAGGUUUAGGUUACUGUCAUUCAUAUUCACCCAGUUCAAUGUAACAGUAACAGGUUUAGGUUACUGUCAUUCAUAUUCACCCAGUUCAAUGUAACAGUGACAGGUUUAGGUUACUGUCAUUCAUAUUCACCCAGUUCAAUGUAACAGUGACAGGUUUAGGUUACUGUCAUUCAUAUUCACCCAGUUCAAUGUAACAGUGACAGGUUUAGGUUACUGUCAUUCAUAUUCACCCAGUUCAAUGUAACAGUGACAGGUUUAGGUUACUGUCAUUCAUAUUCACCCAGUUCAAUGUAACAGUGACAGGUUUAGGUUACUGUCAGUCAUAUCCUCCCAGUUCAAUGUAACAGUGACAGGUUUAGGUUACUGUCAUUCAUAUUCACCCAGUUCAAUGUAACAUCCAUAGGUUGGAGAACGUCCUCCGGAAGUUGUCGUAAUUACUGUGUAAGUCUAUGGAAGGGGGUGAGCACCAUGAGCCUCCUAGGUUUUGUUUUGAUGUCGAUGUGCCCAGAGGAGGACGGAAACUAGCUGUCCUCCGGCUACACUAUGGUGCUGCUGAGGCUACUGUGACCUUCAUUGCAAAACUGUGUGUUUUAAUCAAUGAUUUGGUAACAUGCAAAUAUUUUUUUAGUUUUAGUUUUAUCUAAAUGGGAUAACCUUUUUAAUGUUUUACUAUUUAAAUGUUUAUGAAAUUCACUGAGGAGGAUGGUCCUCCCCUUCCUCCUCUGAGGAGCCUCCGCUGGCCUGAGCUCUGUCCUGUCUGGUGGUUAGGGUCAGGGUUAGACUGUGUUGUAACUGUGUAUCUCUGUGUGUUCU